GACGAACGCUGGCGGCGUGCUUAACACAUGCAAGUCGAACGGAAAGGCCCUGCUUGCCGGGUACUCGAGUGGCGAACGGGUGAGUAACACGUGGGUGAUCUGCCCUGCACUUCGGGAUAAGCCUGGGAAACUGGGUCUAAUACCGGAUAGGAGCCAUUUUUAGUGUGAUGGUUGGAAAGUUUUUUCGGUGUAGGAUGAGCUCGCGGCCUAUCAGCUUGUUGGUGGGGUAAUGGCCUACCAAGGCGGCGACGGGUAGCCGGCCUGAGAGGGUGGACGGCCACAUUGGGACUGAGAUACGGCCCAGACGCCUACGGGAGGCAGCAGUGGGGAAUAUUGCACAAUGGGCGCAAGCCUGAUGCAGCGACGCCGCGUGGGGGAUGACGGCCUUCGGGUUGUAAACUCCUUUCGCUAGGGACGAAGCUUUUUGUGACGGUACCUAGAUAAGAAGCACCGGCUAACUACGUG
rnacentral:rRNA from 1 species